UUUUUUUUUUUUUUUUUUUUUUGGUUCUUUUUUUCGGAGCUGGGGACCGAACCCAGGGCCUUGUGCUUCCUAGGUAAGCGCUCUACCACUGAGCUAAAUCCCCAGCCCGGCUUUGUUUUUCUGUUUGCUUUUUCUUUUUUUUUUUUUGCAACUCAUCAGAGAUGUUUGCAAAGUGACUUUUUUUUUAAAUUCCUUUAUCUUGACUUAAAGGUGAAUGUGUAUCCCUCUGGGAGGAGCAAGAAGAAAGCAGGAAUGUUAGUCAUGGCGAACAGAAGACUUCCUCCCUUAUUAAUAUAUAACCCUCACAUAUUUAUGCCUAACGCAAGCGGACUUUCAAAAGGCGUCCUUUUGUUGCAUGCCCUGUGCAGGCAUCUGUAUUGUACAUGCAUGACUUUUGUCCUGUUUCCCUGUAUAAAGUCAGUGAACAAAGAAAUAUUUUUGCCUAGUUCAUGUUGCCAAGCAAUGCAUAUUUUUUAAAUUUGUCAUACAUGGAAAGAGCAUGUUUGUUACAUGUAAAAGCUCUACUGAUGCAGACACACUAAUGUUUGAACAUGCUGUUCUUCGCAAGUGUACAGUUUUCAAAUGUUGUUACCAGUGACAACGCCCUCGUGGUCUAAACUUGCUACAGUGUAUUUAUUACUCAUUUCCUCCCACAGAAUUAAGAAUCAUGGCUAUAUUUCAUAUGGUUAUAUUGAGAGUGAAGGGAAAUGAUUAAUA
rnacentral:lncRNA from 1 species